AGCCACGCAGGGGGCAAAGGUCAAACUCAAGGGCGGACCUGACCGGCGAGAGGGAGCCCCCGCCCCUCGCCGUGACGACUGCAGACCCGCCGAACCCCGCACCCGCCGCGGCCCGGGGUGCGGGUGGGCGGCCCCUCGGCGGGAGCCGGCCAGAUGCUGGGGAGAUGAGCAAUGGAUGAUUUUGGCUUCCUCUGAAUAACUCCUGAGAGGGUUAUAAACUCCAUGGAAGUUCCCUAAUAGUGUCCCAUAACUGACCAUUGUCUUGAUACACACUGGGUUCAUAGGAAAGACACGGCAUGUGGAAGACACUGUGCAUGAGGUGAAUGAGUUCUUCCAGCUCUCUUCUCCAGCCCUGGAGCUCCAGAAAGAGGAGGAUGAGCCAGACCCACUGCCCCCAGGUGAAUGCUGCACAUUUGUGGUGGCUCCCAGCAUCUCCCCUUGUGAGUGGCAGGAAGAUAAACUUCACCCACUGGAGAAAAGUGGCCCAGAUGGAGAAAAGCUGGGACCCUGGGCCCUGAAGAGCCACUGGGCCCUGGAGCUGCAGGUGAGGAGAGUCCACCUCGCUCAGAGGAUUGAAGACCUGGAGUAGGAGCUGUCCUUGCUCCUUCAGGCGGCCAACAGCAGUUCGAGCAUAGGAGGGAGCUGGCCCAGCCAACACAGCAGCCUAAGGGGCACUGAGUCACAUCAGAUACUGCAUGGUGGCCACCUCCGGGAGGUGCCUUCUCACCGAGAACAUGAACGGCUUCCCCUGGUAGGAAGGAGUGGGCAUCUGGGGCCCGGAGUGUGUGCUGGUUUUACGACGUGCUCCUACAGGGAGACACCUGGAUUUCUUUCAGAGCCUGGACCUCAGCUUGUGCUCAAUUCUGCCUUGAACUUUCUGGGGUGAGGGAAAAUAAACUGACAUGGGUUGACAAAA